rnacentral:rRNA from 1 species
CAGUCGCCACGGGAAUACGGAGGGUGCGAGCGUUAAUCGGAAUUACUGGGCGUAAAGCGUACGCAGGCGGUUUGUUAAGUCAGAUGUGAAAUCCCCGGGCUCAACCUGGGAAUGGCAGUGGAUACUGGCAAGCUAGAGUGUGUCAGAGGAUGGUGGAAUUCCCGGUGUAGCGGUGAAAUGCGUAGAGAUCGGGAGGAACAUCAGUGGCGAAGGCGGCCAUCUGGGACAACACUGACGCUGAGGCACGAAAGCGUGGGGAGCAAACAGGAUUAGAUACCCCAGUAGUCCCUGUCUCUUAUAC